rnacentral:rRNA from 1 species
AUGUCUGUCAUUAAAUUUCCUAAGUGGGCAAUUAAUGCUAUCACUUCACAGAUGGCUCAUUUCUUCUGGGGAAAUCUGGGGGAUGACCAUAAAUACCAUCUUGCUAACUGGGGCCUAAUUUCACAGAAAAAAGAUUUUGGUGGUUUGGGGGUACCCAAUCUAAGAGAAUUUAACAUGGCUUUGCUGGCUUCUUGGGCUAAAAGAUAUUUCAUGGAUAGUGAUAAAGAUUGGGUUAGAUUGGUAGAUCAUAAGUAUCGAACCAAUAAACCUAAUCUGUUGUGGUCCAAACAGAGAAUGGGGUCACCUUUCUGGAAGGGUGUUACUUGGGAUUUUGAAGGGAUAAGACAUUUUUUUAAAUGGAACUUAGGAAAUGGUGAC